rnacentral:other from 1 species
AGCCUCCUGAAGUGUGCGCCAGGGCCCUGUUUUUACCCACAUUUCAUAAAACGGAGCUCGGGUUCGGCGUUGGAUGUCAUGCCCCCGUUCAUGUGGACGCCAGGGGACGGCAGAAGCCGUCGAUAGAGCACCGGCCUGCUUAACAUAGCGGGUGAAAAAACGGGUACAGCGGCACUUUGGGUUCUC